CGAUAGCCCUGAUGGAAAUGAAAAUCCCGAGCUAUUGCUAAGAAUGAAGCUAAAUGGCGAGGAUUGUAAUGAACAGCAGGACAAAAA
rnacentral:sRNA from 1 species